rnacentral:rRNA from 1 species
GACCACCUACGGGACGCAGCAGUAGGGAAUAUUGCUCAAUGGGGGAAACCCUGAUGCAGCGACGCCGCGUGAGCGAUGGAGUAUUUCGGUAUGUAAAGCUCUAUCAGCAGGGAAGAAAAUGACGGUACCUGACUAAGAAGCCCCGGCUAACUACGUGCCAGCAGCCGCGGUAAUACGUAGGGGGCAAGCGUUAUCCGGAUUUACUGGGUGUAAAGGGAGCGUAGACGGCAGUGCAAGUCUGAAGUGAAAGGCAAGGGCUCAACCCUUGGACUGCUUUGGAAACUGUGCUGCUCGAGUGUCGGAGG